rnacentral:misc_RNA from 1 species
CCGAACUGUCAACACGAGUUGUUGCUGGUCCUCAAACGGGGGCAUGUGCACGCUCUGUUUGUACAUCCACUCACACCUGUGCACCCUCCAUAGUUCUAUAGCCCUGGGGGCUCUGUCCCCCCUGUGCCGUGGUCCUAUGUAUUUACACACACACGCUGUAAUAAAGUCUCAUGGAAUGUAUGCCGCGUUUAACGCAAUACAAUA